GACCCUGGCUCAGGAUGAACGCUAGCUACAGGCUUAACACAUGCAAGUCGAGGGGAAACGACAUCGAAAGCUUGCUUUUGAUGGGCGUCGACCGGCGCACGGGUGAGUAACGCGUAUCCAACCUGCCCAUCACUUGGGAAUAACCCUGCGAAAGUAAGACUAAUGCCCAAUGACAUCCCACGAAGGCAUCCGAAUGGGAUUAAAGAUUUAUCGGUGAUGGAUGGGGAUGCGUCUGAUUAG
rnacentral:rRNA from 1 species